CCUACGGGGUGCAGCAGUGGGGAAUAUUGCGCAAUGGGCGAAAGCCUGACGCAGCGACGCCGCGUGAGGGAUGAAGGUCUUCGGAUCGUAAACCUCUGUCAGCAGGGAAGAACGGUCACUGUGCUAAUCAGCAGUGAAUUGACGGGACCUGCAAAGGAAGCACCGGCUAACUCCGUGCCAGCAGCCGCGGUAAUACGGAGGGUGCGAGCGUUAAUCGGAAUUACUGGGCGGAAAGCGCUCGUAGGCGGGAUGUCAAGUCAAGGGGGAAAUCCCCGCGCGCAACGUGGGUAUUGCCGUUGAAACUGGCAAACUGGAGUGUGUGAGAGGAUAGUGGAAUUCCAGGUGUAGGAGUGAAAUCCGUAGAUAUCUGGAGGAACAUCAGUGGCGAAGGCGACGAUCUGGCACAUAACUGACGCUGAGGAGCGAAAGCGUGGGUAGCAAACAGGAUUAGAUACCCUGGUAGUC
rnacentral:rRNA from 1 species